rnacentral:rRNA from 2 species
AUACCGGCAGUCCAAGUGAUGGCCGAUAUUAUUGGGCCUAAAGCGUCCGUAGCCUGCUGUGUAAGUCCGUUGGGAAAUCGGCCAGCUCAACUGGCCGGCGUCCAGCGGAAACUACACGGCUUGGGGCCGAGAGACUUGACGGGUACGUCCGGGGUAGGAGUGAAAUCCUGUAAUCCUGGACGGACCACCAAUGGGGAAACCACGUCAAGAGACCGGACCCGACGGUGAGGGACGAAAGCUAGGGUCUCGAACCGGAUUAGAUACCCGGGUAGUCCUAGCUGUAAACGAUGCCUGCUAGGUAUGUCACGCGCCAUGAGCACGUGAUGUGCCGUAGUGAAGACGAUAAGCAGGCCGCCUGGGAAGUACGUCCGCAAGGAUGAA